GCUAGCGGCAGGCUUAAUACAUGCAAGUCGUGGGGCAGCAUGGGUAGCAAUACSUGAUGGCGACCGGCAAACGGGUGCGGAACACGUACGCAACCUUCCUUUAAGUGAGGAAUAGCCCAGGGAAACUUGGAUUAAUACCUCRUAACAUUAUGGAGUGGCAUSRCUUUAUAAUUAUAGYUCAGGCGSUAAAAGAUGGGCGUGCGGCUGAUUAGGUAGUUGGCGGGGUAACGGCCCACCAAGCCUACGAUCAGUAACUGGUGUGAGAGCACGACCAGUCACACGGGCACUGAGACACGGGCCCGACUCCUACGGGAGGCAGCAGUAAGGAAUAUUGGUCAAUGGACGCAAGUCUGAACCAGCCAUGCCGCGUGGAGGAUGAAGGCCCUCUGGGUUGUAAACUUCUUUUAUUUGGGAAGAAACC
rnacentral:rRNA from 1 species